rnacentral:rRNA from 1 species
CCGCGAAUCAUCGAGUCUUUGAACGCAACUUGCGCCCGCGGCUCGUCCAAGGGCAUGUCUGCCUGAGCGUCCACA